UACAGAGGGUGCGAGCGUUAAUCGGAAUUACUGGGCGUAAAGCGCACGUAGGCGGCUUGGUAUGUCGGGUGUGAAAUCCCCGGGCUCAACCUGGGAACUGCAUCCGAAACUGCCUUGCUAGAGUAUGGGAGAGGGCAGUGGAAUUCCCGGUGUAGCGGUGAAAUGCGUAGAUAUCGGGAGGAACAUCAGUGGCGAAGGCGGCUGCCUGGCCCAAUACUGACACUCAGGUGCGACGAGCG
rnacentral:rRNA from 1 species